CGGGGUGUAGCUCAGUUGGCUAGAGCGCACGGUUUGGGACCGUGAGGUCGCGCGUUCGAGUCGCGCCACCCCGACCA
rnacentral:tRNA from 1 species